AAUUGGAGGGCAAGUCUGGUGCCAGCAGCCGCGGUAAUUCCAGCUCCAAUAGCGUAUAUUAAAGUUGUUGCAGUUAAAAAGCUCGUAGUUGAAUUUCGGGAUUGACACAUCGGUCGUGCCUUAAGAGGUAUGAACUGGUGUAGUCAAUUUCUCACCUUCUGGAGAACCGCGAUGCCCUUAAUUGGGUGUCACGGGGAACCAGGACCUUUACUUUGAAAAAUUAGAGUGUUUAAAGCAGGCAUUUUGCUUGAAUACAUUAGCAUGGAAUAAUAAAAUAGGACGGCAUGAUUCUAUUUUGUUGGUUUCUAGGAUCACCGUAAUGAUUAAUAGGGAUAGUUGGGGGCAUUAGUAUUCAAUUGUCAGAGGUGAAAUUCUUGGAUUUAUUGAAGACUAACUACUGCGAAAGCAUUUGCCAAGGAUGUUUUCAUUAAUCAAGAACGAAAGUUAGGGGAUCGAAGACGAUCAGAUACCGUCGUAGUCUUAACCAUAAACUAUGCCGACUAGGAAUCAGACGAUGUUAAUUUUUUAAUGACUCGUUUGGCACCUUACGGGAAACCAAAGUGU
rnacentral:rRNA from 1 species